rnacentral:rRNA from 1 species
UACGGAGGGUGCAAGCGUUGUCCGGAUUCAUUGGGUUUAAAGGGUGCGCAGGCGGGCCAUUAAGUCAGGGGUGAAAGACGGUUGCUCAACAAUCGCAGUGCCUUUGAUACUGGUGGUCUUGGGUGACCUUGAGGUAGGCGGAAUGGGUGGUGUAGCGGUGAAACGCAUAGAUACCACCCAGAACUCCGAUUGCGAAGGCAGCCUACUGGAGGUUUACCGACGCUCAGGCACGAAAGCGUGGGGAUCAAACAGG